rnacentral:tRNA from 1 species
UAACCCUACCCCCGGGGAAAGUCAAACCCCCCCUGCCCCCUUGAAAAAAAAAAUUUCC